rnacentral:lncRNA from 1 species
AGGACUAUUUAAGUUUGAUAAAGAGAGGAUUUAUCGAUUAGUCCUUAAAAUUAUUCACGACCAAAUGAUAGGCUGUUAAUAAGGACGACAGCUUCUAUCGAGCAUAGGUCGCUGUAGGCCAUAUGGGUUGGUUGUCCUCUUAACCAAAAAGUGUGGAGACACUGGUAUGGCAUACAGGUGAGAUGUAAGGGUACAUCAUCAUUGAACGUGAUCAACUCCAGAGCAUUCUGCUGUCGAGAAUGUCUCUGAUGGGAUAUAGGUAUAAGUGUCCCUUAGACCUGAGAUCGCCUCAGUGACUUGCAAGCAACUCACUAUGCUUUGGUACUGGACUAACUGAAUUUUUAAUUCAGAGACGGAAGACUUCUGGACACAAUCAAGUACUUGCGAAGUCAGAGUGUGAUCGAGAUGGGAUUGACCACUCCAAGAGUUGGAGAAGAAUGAGUCGCUGUAUUUCAAUUUAGCAAACCCUUGGCCAGGAUAAUCCAUUAGAUGAAUUUGAUAUUUUGAAAUACAAUGUGGACAACCUGAUCAGAGUUGAUAGUUGAACUCUGGGAUGUCCUAUGAUCAUUUUGGUCAAGGGGAUGAAUUAUAUGAAAACUAUAUCCGCAUGGGUUCUAAGGAUGUUGUUCUAUACAUUCGACCUAUCCG